rnacentral:rRNA from 1 species
UACGUAGGUGACAAGCGUUGUCCGGAUUUACUGGGCGUAAAGAGCGCGCAGGCGGUCGAUCAAGUCGAGUGUGAAAGCCCCCGGCUCAACUGGGGAGGGUCAUUCGAUACUGAUCGACUCGAAGGCAGGAGAGGGUAGUGGAAUUCCCGGUGUAGUGGUGGAAUGCGUAGAUAUCGGGAGGAACACCAGUGGCGAAGGCGGUUACCUGGAGCUUUGCUGACGCUGAUGCGCGAAAGCGUGGGGAGCGAUCCGG